CCAGCCCCUCCCCAACCCGACGGGGGGCGGAGCUGUCCUCCGGAGGGGCGUGGGCAGAGCAGGAGUCCAGGGCUCCCGGUCGCUCACCCCAGCUGCUCUGGGCGGUCGAGGACUGUGGAGGAGAGGCCUCCCACAGCCAGUGGUGUUCACAGAAAGGGGAAAGUGGAGCAGAACUCUGGACGCUCACCUCUUCCAAGCCGGCACCAUCCCCCAGCUCCACAGAGUGACUACCACCCUUCCAGCCCCCAAGACUUUUCAUGGCCGUUCCUUGGAUGCUGCCCCCCCAACUCUGCAUGUGCCUUUAGGGUGUGGCCUGGGCCUUGAGAUUCAGCACCAACCUGGGGCUUUGUUGAAGACAAAGUUCUCUGGGCCCCGGAAGAAGCAAUGAGGGCUUAGGAAGACUGACCAGCAGGUCACCUCCUCCAGACAGGCCUCCUAGAUACAAGCAGCCCAGGAUUGAAAAACUUUGAUGCUCCCUUCCUCCCUGAUUCCUGGAGGGCUUGGUGCCCACAGAGCUCACAUUCCUGAGCAUGGCCUCUUCCUGCUUCUCCAUACACCUGCGGUUGCACUGGGAAGGGAGGUGUUCCCCGUGUGUCUAGGGCCCAGCAACUGCGAGACACCCACCAGGCAGGUGUCUUCCAUCUGUUUCUGUGUCCAGGAUUCGUGUUUUUCAAGGGCCAAUGGAAACGCUGAGAUCUAAAAGCGUGUUGAUUGGCGCCAAAGCCUGAAAAUAAACUUCAAAAUAAAAUUAAUAAGCUUUAUUGAAUGGCUACAAAAUUUAACACUAUAUUGAAAA
rnacentral:lncRNA from 1 species